UAUACUCUAUCCUUCCAUUUUCAUCGUCUUCCAAACCCUCACUUUGCGCACGGAAAAUGGCGUCGGCGAGUGCUUUCACAGCUCAGAUUUCGAACUUCAAUGGAGGAGCGUCAUCUGAUAGAAAAACGUUCAUUACUUUGUCAUCCUCUUCAUCAUCCUAUUCCCAAAAACUAAGCUUAAAACCAAAUUCAGUUGGUAUGAGGACCCUAUCUCACUCUCAUCAUCAAAAGCUUGUUGAUAAUCCCCGAUCUCUUCGUGUAUUUGCCCUAUUUGGAGGAAAGAAAGAUGGUGACAAGGAUGAUGGAAAGGCAGGUGUGUUUGGAAACAUGCAAAAUCUAUACGAGACUGUAAAGAAGGCACAAAUGGUUGUCCAGGUUGAAGCAGUGAAAGUGCAAAAAGAACUUGCAGUAGCUGAGUUUGAUGGUUAUUGUGAAGGUGAACUAGUAAAGGUCACUCUCUCUGGGAAUCAGCAACCUGUACGCACAGAAAUUACAGAGGCUGCAAUGGAAUUGGGAUCAGAAAAAUUGUCACUUUUGAUUACAGAAGCAUAUAGAGAUGCUCAUCAAAAAAGUGUCCAGGCCAUGAAAGCACGAAUGGGCGAUCUUGCACAGAGCUUAGGAAUGCCCCAAGGUUUGGGUGAUCAGUUCAAGCAAUAAUUCAAUCCCCGUUUUGCCCUCAUCCUUCUGAAAGCUGCAGUUUUGUAGACUAACUGUGCCAAAAGGUUUGUUAUCGGGUAUUCAGAUAAAAAAAGCAGUUUGUUGAAUGAAGAAAAGAAAAUGACAUGGACAAUCAAGAAAGUUUAAAUAUGAAAGAGAUGUAAAGGAACGAAAAUUGCAUCUCUUUCUGUGUUUUUUUUUGAGGUGUUGUUUGUUAAGUUAUGAUUCUAUACGUUUGGUGUUGAAAUUAUUUGAGCACUUAUACUGUGAGAAAAAACUAGAAUUGCAUAUUAAUCUUAUCCAAGGCAUAUUACUAUA